rnacentral:rRNA from 1 species
UGGGUUCAGAACGUCGUGAGACAGUUUGGUCUCUAUCCUCUGCGCUCGUUGGAAUUUUGAGAAGACCUGCCCAUAGUACGAGAGGACCUGGGUGGACGAACCUCUGGUAUGCCAGUUGUCGCGCCAGCGGCACGGCUGGUUAGCUACGUUCGGAAGGGAUAACCGCUGAAAGCAUCUAAGCGGGAAGCCUGCUUCAAGAUAAGAAUUCCAUGAGACCUCGAGUCUCUGAAGACUCCAUGUAGAACACAUGGUUGAUAGGCCGGAUGUGGAAGCCCCGUAAGGGGUGGAGCUGACCGGUACUAACAGUCGAAAGGCAAUCAUAC